rnacentral:lncRNA from 1 species
UCAGGACAAGUGACAUUCUUUCAGUCCUCCAGGCAACUCUAAGAUUAAGGUACUUUCCUGAAACUAUGGUCUAUCCUCAGUUGAAUUUGGGAAGACAGGAGAAGAAGAGACCUGGGGUUCGAAUACAAAGCAUUAAAAUGAAUAUGAUGUAAGUGAAAUUAGCACCAAUGGACAAAAUCAGAAAAGAUUGUUUUUUAAAAAUGAAGAUUUAUAAUCUACCAGGAAAACUUGUGUGUCAAUUAGCUUAGGUAAGUUUCAGCAGCCAGGCAUGACAAAUGUCCAACUAAAAUAAAACACUGGCUGGGUAUCA